rnacentral:rRNA from 1 species
UACGUAGGUGGCAAGCGUUGUCCGGAUUUAUUGGGUUUAAAGGGUGCGUAGGCGGUCAUAUAGGUCAGUGGUGAAAUACUUCAGCUCAACUGGAGAGGUGCCAUUGAUACUGUAUGACUUGAGUACAGACGAGGUAGGCGGAAUUGACGGUGUAGCGGUGAAAUGCUUAGAUAUCGUCAAGAACACCGAUAGCGAAGGCAGCUUACUAGACUGUAACUGACGCUGAUGCACGAAAGUGUGGGGAUCAAACAGG